rnacentral:tRNA from 1 species
GCACUGGUGGUGGAAUUGGUAGACACGCCAUCUUGAGGGGGUGGUGUCCGCAGGACGUGCGAGUUCGAGUCUCGCUCAGUGCACCA